GGACUUGGAUGUUGCCGUCUCAUCGCGGCUCGUCUUGAAUGUCUCAGCGUGCCCCAUUUGUCGGUGUAUACAGCGUGAUAGGUAUCUUCGCUGGUCAGCUUCUUCGGAGGCGCACCCUCGAGUGAAAAGGUGUGCUACCAACCGUCCUCGGACAAUCUUUGACAAUUUGACCUCAGAUCGGGUGGGACUACCCGCUGAACUUAAGCAUAUCAAUAAGCGGAGGAAAAGAAACUAACAAGGAUUCCCCUAGUAACGGCGAGUGAAGAGGGAAAAGCUCAAAUUUUGAAUCUGAUACCUUUGGUGUCCGAGUUGUAAUCUAGAGAAGUGUUUUCCGUGUCGGACCGUGCACAAGUUCCCUGGAACGGGGCGUCAUAGAGGGUGAGAAUCCCGUAUAUGGCACGGACUCCCGGUGCUCUGCGAUACACUCUCAACGAGUCGAGUUGUUUGGGAAUGCAGCUCAAAAUGGGUGGUAAAUUCCAUCUAAAGCUAAAUAUUGGCGAGAGACCGAUAGCGAACAAGUACCGUGAGGGAAAGAUGAAAAGCACUUUGGAAAGAGAGUGAAACAGUACGUGAAAUUGUUGAAAGGGAAGCGUUUGAAGUCAGUCGCGUCUGUCGGGGUUCAGCCUGGCUUCUGCCUGGUGUAUUCCCCGUCCGACGGGUCAGCAUCAGUUUUGACCGAGAGAAAAAGGCUUGGGGAAUGUGGCCAUCUUCGGGUGGUGUUAUAGCCUCUUGUCGUAUGUCUCGGUCGGGACUGAGGACUGCAGCGCGCCUUAUGGCCGGGGUUCGCUCCCUCGGUACGCGCUUAGGAUGCUGGCAUAAUGGCUUUAAGCGACCCGUCUUGAAACACGGACCAAGGAGUCUAACAUGUGCGCGAGUGUUUGGGUGUCAAACCCGAGCGCGUAAUGAAAGUGAAAGGUCGGGAUCACGUACGUGUGCACCGACGCCCGGAGCAGACCUACUGUGACGCAUCUGCGGUGGAGCGUAUAUGUUGGGACCCGAAAGAUGGUGAACUAUGCCUGAAUAGGGUGAAGCCAGAGGAAACUCUGGGGAGGCUCGUAGCGAUUCUGACGUGCAAUCGAUCGUCAAAUUUGGGUAUAGGGGCGAAAGACUAAUCGAACCCUCUAGUAGGUGGUCUGCG
rnacentral:rRNA from 1 species